rnacentral:tRNA from 1 species
GCGGGUGUAGUUCAAUGGUAGAACAUGAGCUUCCCAAGCUUAAAGUGGGGGUUCGAUUCCCCUCACCCGCUCCA